GGAAGAGGCUUCGGAUCCCGACCCAAAAUAUAUCCAAAGUCUAUGUGGAAGAGUUUGCCUGGAUGUUGACAAGAAACUCAUUUGUUUCCAGAAUUAUCUUAAAGAACUGGGAUGCCAUACAGAAAACAGAAGGCUCUUCUAGAUGAAGAGAAGGCCUGCCAUUAAAUCACUUACAGAGGAAUGAAUACAUGUGAAAUGUUGGAAAAAAGGGGAGAGAUAAGAUAUAAUGUGAAUUUAACUGUCCAAUAGAUCACAGAAAACAUAGACUUGAAGGUCUGAGAAAAACAGAAGAGAAAUGGGGCAAAAUAAAGAAGAAAAACAAGAAAGGAGCAAGGGAAGAGAGAGAAAUACAGAGUUAAGAGGACAAGG